ACUGUACUUUAAAAGUUAAAAAAAAAUGGAAUGAUUCAAAGACAAUUAGCAUGGCCCCUAUGCAAGGAUGGCAUCCAGAUUCCUAAAGAAUUCCAUAUUUUU